GACGAACGCUGGCGGCGUGCUUAACACAUGCAAGUCGAACGGUGAACCUCUUCGGAGGGGAUCAGUGGCGAACGGGUGAGUAACACGUGGGCAACCUGCCCCCGGCUCUGGGAUAACUCCAAGAAAUUGGGGCUAAUACCGGAUGUUCACCGCUUCCCGCAUGGGUGGUGGUGGAAAGGGUUUCCGGCUGGGGAUGGGCCCGCGGCCUAUCAGCUUGUUGGUGGGGUAGUGGCCUACCAAGGCGACGACGGGUAGCCGGCCUGAGAGGGUGACCGGCCACACUGGGACUGAGACACGGCCCAGACUCCUACGGGAGGCGGCAGUGGGGAAUAUUGCGCAAUGGGCGGAAGCCUGACGCAGCGACGCCGCGUGGGGGAUGACGGCAUUCGGGUUGUAAACCUCUUUCAGCAGGGACGAAGCGCAAGUGACGGUACCUGCAGAAGAAGCACCGGCCAACUACGUG
rnacentral:rRNA from 1 species